CGCUCCACCAACCACUGACCGGGGGAGUGUCCGGGGCGGAGUUACCGUGUUGCGCUAUGGAAAAUCGUUUGGAGGAUACACGGUGUCAAACGUAACGCACCGAGAUCGCUAACGGCGACAGUGACGCUGAAACAGAAGCCGAGUGGACUGUUUGCUGAGCGGGGAGCGGCUCUGACUGGCGCCGGCCGGGACAUCGACGAGAGUCUCUCCCCACUGGGGAAAUGAGGAAAACAUGCUUGCGAUAAACACAUGGAAAAGUGGCUUUUCCGUGUUUAAACAUCAAGGCCUCCUCCCCAGGGAACUGGUUUCAGAUGGUGUCUUGAGUAUAAAAUCCCAUCUAGCACCAUUUGAAAUCGGUGUUCUUGAGCAGGAACAGACUUCAGGAAUGCUCACCGUGUGCAGAAGGUUUUGGAUGUCUUGGUGGCGAUGUUUCCAUCCUUCAUUUUUGACUUUUUAUACAUUCAGCCAGUUGCAGAGAUGAAGGAAUGUUAAAAAAUACAAGAUACUCCCUAAUGACCACUGGUGCUCUUCUUCCAGCCAGAGUUCCACUGAUCACGAAAGUCAUCUGAGCAACCUGAUUCCCCACCCCCCCUCACCAAGGCUGACCGUUUUCUUCUGGUGUUUAGAGUUUCCAUCAUGUCUAGCACCAUUUGAAAUCGGUUACAAUGUGGAGGGAAUCUCAGCAAAGGUUUCAUCUUUCAGGGGUUGCAUCAUGAACUUCCUUAAAGUGCCAGAAGAUGGCAGCAUUGAGCUGCUAUCCUUGCAAUUACUUUGAAGCAGCGACUGAUGACCCUGACCUGACAAGAGUAAAAAUAAAAAUCUGGGCCAAAACAGAACUUUAUGCAAUGGAGUUCUUCUUUAACCACGUCGUCACUAAAACUGUUAUCUUGUUUUUCUCAAUGAACACGUGGCAAUGAAAGACAUUACUUGGCUAAAUGCUUCAGUAGAAGUUAAUGUGUAUCUAUUAUAGUGCUGGAUUUACACAAGUUACUCCUUGGUGUUAAUUAUUAAGCAGCCAGUUUAAUCUAUUUUAAUUUUUUUGUUUUAAGUACCAAGGUUUUGGUUUGAGAUGAAACAAAACGUUCAGAGUUGAGUUGAUAAGAAAUCUCUUGUUAGAUCCCAGAGCAGACGUGGUUCAGGUCAGUGUUUGAGCUUUAAAUUAAAUAAAAACACAGCAUGCAAUAUUUCAAUUCAUACCUGUCUAAUAUUCUAAGUCUAAUUACAUGGAGUCAGAUUGCAAAGUAACAGGAAAUGUAAUCCUACAACUUCAAGCUUGCAAUUGCCCAUAAUGCAACCUGCCACAUGUCAUAUUCGGCAUUAAUACAGUUGUCUCUUUCAAUUUAGUAUUGAAAACUUGUAGUUAUGUAUGAAUAAUGAACCCACGCUGUCAUGGCAAAUGAGGAAAAAAGAAUCUUGGCUCGUCUAUAAUAAUAUAAAAAUAUUCAUUGUCUCACCUAGGAGCACAGAUAUCAUUAUGCAACACUCAGUUAUGUUUUAAACAGUUUUUCCUCUGAUUGAUCAUGUCAUCAACCGAUCUGACCAGCUUUAAGAUUCAAGAUUAUGAUGUGUUCUUCUGCUCCUUUCUAACAAAUAAAUGUUCUAUUAUGGA